rnacentral:rRNA from 1 species
CCUACGGGAGGCAGCAGUGAGGAAUUUUGGGCAAUGGGCGAAAGCCUGACCCAGCGACGCCGCGUGGGGGAUGAAGCCCUUCGGGGUGCAAACCCCUUUUCGGGGGGAAGAAUAAGGGCUUUAAUAAGGCCCGAUGACGGUACCCCCGGAAUAAGCCACGGCUAACUCUGUGCCAGCAGCCGCGGUAAGACAGAGGCGGCGAGCGUUGUCCGGAUUUACUGGGCGUAAAGGGCGUGUAGGCGGUGGCGCAAGUCGGAGGUGAAAGCCACUGGCUCAACCAGGGAGGGUCAUUCGAUACUGCGUUGCUAGAGGGCAGCAGAGGAAAGUGGAAUUCCCGGUGUAGUGGUGAAAUGCGUAGAUAUCGGGAGGAACACCAGUGGCGAAGGCGGCUUUCUGGGCUGUACCUGACGCUGAGGCGCGAAAGCGUGGGGAGCGAACUGGAUUAGAUACCCCUGUAGU